UUUGAACGCUGGUGGCAGGCCUAACACAUGCAAGUCGGGCGGUAACAGGGAUAGCUUGCUAUAUGCUGACGAGCGGCGGACGGGUGAGUAAUGCAUAGGAAUUUGCCUGAUAGUGGGGGAUAGCCCAGAGAAAUUUGGAUUAAUACCGCAUACGCCCUACGGGGGAAAGCAGGGGAUCUUAGGACCUAGCGCUAUCAGAUGAGCCUAUGUCGGAUUAGCUUGUUGGUGAGGUAACGGCUCACCAAGGCGACGAUCCGUAGCUGGUCUGAGAGGAGAUCAGCCACAC
rnacentral:rRNA from 1 species